UACGUAGGGCGCGAGCGUUGUCCGGAUUUAUUGGGCGUAAAGAGCUCGUAGGCGGCUUGUCGCGUCGACUGUGAAAACCCGCGGCUUAACUGCGGGCCUGCAGUUGAUACGGGCAGGCUAGAGUUCGGUAGGGGAGACUGGAAUUCCUGGUGUAGCGGUGAAAUGCGUAGAUAUCUGGAGGAAUACCGGUGGCGAAGGCGGCAUCCUGGACCGGCAUUGACGCUGAAGCGCGAAAGCUAGGGGAGCAAACGGG
rnacentral:rRNA from 1 species